AUUGAACGCUGGCGGCAGGCCUAACACAUGCAAGUCGAGCGGGGUUUUCGGACCUAGCGGCGGACGGGUGAGUAAUGCGUAGGAAGCUACCCGAUAGAGGGGGAUACCAGUUGGAAACGACUGUUAAUACCGCAUAAUGUCUACGGACCAAAGUGUGGGACCUUCGGGCCACAUGCUAUCGGAUGCGCCUACGUGGGAUUAGCUAGUUGGUGAGGUAAUGGCUCACCAAGGCGACGAUCCCUAGCUGGUUUGAGAGGAUGAUCAGCCACACUGGAACUGAGACACGGGCCAGACUCCUACGGGAGGCAGCAGUGGGGAAUAUUGGACAAUGGGCGGAAGCCUGAUCCAGCCAUGCCGCGUGUGUGAAGAAGGCCUUCUGGUUGGAAAGUACUUUCAGCGGGGAGGAAGGCGAUGUGGUUAAUAACCGCAUUGAUUGACGUUACCCGCAGAAGAAGCACCGGCUAACUCCGUGCCAGCCGCCGCCGUAAAAC
rnacentral:rRNA from 1 species